rnacentral:rRNA from 1 species
CUGCUGCCUUCCGUAGGAGUUUGGACCGUGUCUCAGUUCCAAUGUGGGGGACCUUCCUCUCAGAACCCCUACGCAUCGUCGGCUUGGUGGGCCGUUGCCCCACCAACUACCUAAUGCGCCGCAUGCCCAUCCGUGACCGGAGUCGCCCCCUUUGGCCGGAAAGGGAUGUCCCUUCCCGGCGUCAUGCUGUAUUAGGCGGGAUUUCUCCCGGUUAUCCAUCUGUCACGGCCAGGUUGCAUACGUGUUACUCACCCGUGCGCCGGUCGCCGGCG